rnacentral:lncRNA from 1 species
UUUUAAAAUGAAAAAUUAGGUGUUAUAAAUUACUAACCUCUUUAGUUAUUUUAUUAAGUUCAGUAGCAAAAUUACAUGAAUGGAAACUACAAUUCAGUAGGUGUUCUGAAGCUGUUUUUCCUGGAUUAAUACUGCAAUAUAAUUAUAAUAAAACAGCUUUCAACAGAUUGUGGAGGUGUCUUAAGUAUCAUAUAAUGAGAGCACCACUGUUAAUUUAAUAUAUUGGAUAGCAAACAGUUUGUGAGAUGAUAGUUGUGAUUUCAAUAUAAGUUAAUUUAGUGUUUUAUUGUGUUUCUGCUAGGAG